rnacentral:sRNA from 1 species
AUCUGUGUUAUACUUCUAAGUGUAGUUUUUGUACGGUAAUAUUGGCAAGUUUGUUUCAGACAACAUCUUUCCUAUUUCACCAUUCAAGUAAUUACAAACUAAUUUUUAUCCUAGGAGGAUGUUUAACAUGGAACAAGGUACAGUAAAAUGGUUCAACUCAGAAAAAGGCUACGGAUUUAUCACUGCUGAAAACGGAAAUGACGUAUUUGUACAUUUCUCAGCUAUCCAAGGCGACGGCUUCAAAACUUUAGAAGAAGGUCAAGCAGUGACUUUCGACGUAGAAGAAGGCCAACGUGGACCUCAAGCUACAAACGUUAACAAAGCUUAAUUAAGUAGACUUUUAAACCAGAUGCUCACGCAUCUGGUUUUUUU